ACUCCUACGGGAGGCAGCAGUGGGGAAUAUUGCACAAUGGGCGCAAGCCUGAUGCAGCCAUGCCGCGUGUGUGAAGAAGGCCUUCGGGUUGUAAAGCACUUUCAGUCGUGAGGAAGGUAGUGUAGUUAAUAGCUGCAUUAUUUGUACGUUAGCGACAGAAGAAGCACCGGUUAACUCCGUGCCAGCAGCCGCGGUAAUACGGAGGGUGCGAGCGUUAAUCGGAAUUACUGGGCGUAAAGCGCAUGCAGGUGGUUUGUUAAGUCAGAUGUGAAAGCCCGGGGCUCAACCUCGGAAUUGCAUUUGAAACUGGCAGACUAGAGUACUGUAGAGGGGGUAGAAUUUCAGGUGUAGCGGUGAAAUGCGUAGAGAUCUGAAGGAAUACCGGUGGCGAAGGCGGCCCCUGGACAGAUACUGACACUCAGAUGCGAAAGCGUGGGAGCAAACAGGAUUAGAUACCCCGUGGUAGCGACUGA
rnacentral:rRNA from 1 species